AGUUAUCGGCGUAGGGUACAGAGGUAAGAUGUUCUAUCUUUCAGACCUUUUGUUUCACGUUAUUGGAUUUGGCUGAUUCAGCCGCCCUGGUCUUUUGACCAGGGCGUUUUUUA
rnacentral:other from 1 species